rnacentral:rRNA from 1 species
AGUGAACGCUGGCGGUAGGCCUAACACAUGCAAGUCGAACGGCAGCACAGUAAGAGCUUGCUCGUACGGGUGGCGAGUGGCGGACGGGUUAGGAAUACAUCGGAAUCUACUUUUUCGUGGGGGAUAACGUAGGGAAACUUACGCUAAUACCGCAUACGACCUACGUGUGAAAGCAGGGGAUCUUCGGACCUUGCGCGAUUGAAUGAGCCGAUGUCGGAUUAACUAGUUGGCGGGGUAAAGGCCCACCAAGGCGCCGAUCCGUAGCUGGUCUGAGAGGAUGAAUAGCAGCACUGGAACUCAGACACGGUCCAGGCUCCUCCGGGAGGCAGCAGUGGGGAAUAUUGGACAAUGGGCGCAAGCCUGAUCCAGCCAUACCGCGCGGGUGAAGAAGGCCUUCGGGUUGUAAAGACCUUUUGUUGGGAAAGAAAAGCAGCAGGUUAAUACCCCGCUGUUCUGACGGUACCCAAAGAAUAAGCACCGGCUAACUUCGUG